rnacentral:rRNA from 1 species
GACGAACGCUGGCGGCGUGCUUAACACAUGCAAGUCGAAAGAAGUGGCGGACGGGUGAGUAACGCGUAAUCAACCUGCCCUUCAGAGGGGGACAACAGUGGGAAACGACUGCUAAUACCGCAUACUGAAGGUGGGGAUUGCGUCUGAUUAGCGCGGGGGAGGGGUAACGGCCCACCAAGGCGAUUAUCAGUAGCCGGUCGUAGAGGAUGAUCGGCCACACUGGGACUGAGACACGGCCCAGACUCCUACGGGAGGCAGCAGGAGGGAAUCUUCGGCAAUGGACGAAAGUCUGACCGAGCAACGCCGCGUGAGUGAAGAAGGUUUUCGGAUCGUAAAACUCUGUUGUUAGAGAAGCGGUAUCUAACCAGAAAGCCACGGCUAACUACGUGCCAGCAGCCGCGGUAAUAC